AUUGAACGCUGGCGGCAGGCUUAACACAUGCAAGUCGAGCGAGCGGCGGACGGGUGAGUAAUGUCUGGGAAACUGCCUGAUGGAGGGGGAUAACUACUGGAAACGGUAGCUAAUACCGCAAACCAUCAGAUUUACCCAGAAGGGAUUAGUGAGUAGGUGGGGUAAUGGCUCACGAAGGCGACGAUCCCUAGCUGGUCUGAGAGGAUGACCAGCCACACUGGAACUGAGACACGGGCCAGACUCCUACGGGAGGCAGCAGUGGGGAAUAUUGCACAAUGGGCGAAAGCCUGAGGCAGCAAGGCCGCGUGUGUGAAGAAGGCCUUCGGGUUGUAAAGUACUUUCAGCGGGGAGGCGGUACCCGCAGAAAAAGCACCGGCUAACUCCGUGCCAGCAGCCGCGGUAAUUC
rnacentral:rRNA from 1 species